CCUACGGGUGGCAGCAGUGGGGAAUAUUGGUCAAUGGGCGCGAGCCUGAACCAGCCAAGCCGCGUGGGUGAAGACGGUCCUCUGGAUUGUAAACCUCUUUUGUCGGGGAGCAAAUGACGCCACGCGUGGCAUUCCGAGAGUACCCUCAGAAAAAGCAUCGGCUAACUACGUGCCAGCAGCCGCGGUAAUACGGGGGAUCCGCGCGUUAUGCGGAUUUAUUGGGUUAAGGAGGCGCGCAGGCGGAAGAUAAAGUCAGCGGGAACAUUGAGGGGCUGAACCUCUGCGCGCCGUUGAAACUGGUUUGCUUGAGUGCGCGAGAAGUAUGCGGAAGGCGUGGUGUAGCGGUGAAAUGCAUAGAUAUCACGCAGAACACCGAUUGCGAAGGCAGCAUACCGGCGCUCAACUGACGCUCAUGCACGAAAGUGUGGGGAGCGAACAGGAUUAGAUACCCCUGUAGUC
rnacentral:rRNA from 1 species